UACGGAGGGAGCUAGCGUUGUUCGGAAUUACUGGGCGUAAAGCGCACGUAGGCGGCUUUGCAAGUUAGAGGUGAAAGCCUGGGGCUCAACUCCAGAACUGCCUUUAAAACUGCAUCGCUUGAAUCCAGGAGAGGUGAGUGGAAUUCCGAGUGUAGAGGUGAAAUUCGUAGAUAUUCGCAAGAACACCAGUGGCGAAGGCGGCUCACUGGCCCGAUACUGACGCUGAGGUGCGAAAGCGUGGGGAGCAAACAGG
rnacentral:rRNA from 1 species